ACUUUGGUCACUUACUGCGCAUGCUCAAGAAAAUGGAUCAGCUGGUGCAGAAGCAUAGAGAUGAAAUGAAAGAAUUGAGAGCUCGGAUACAGGCAAUGAAGCAUGGAGUGUCUAAAGGUGACAAGAAAGGAAAGAAACGAGUUUCAGAAGAAACCCAGAGACUGGAAGAAGAUAUUAAAGCCCGACACAGAAAGGACAUUGAAGAAUGGCAAUCAGCUAACGUUAGUGAGAUGCUAGAUGAAAACAGGAAAGAAGAAAUGGCAGUAGAGCACACGCUAUCACUGACGAGGCAAACUAGAGCUCAAAGGAGAAGAGACAAGAAAGAUGAAGCUCGCCGGGAAACUGCAAUAAGAAUUGCGGUUGAAGAGGAUGAAUUGGCACAAAAUUCGUUACGCAGGAAAGAAUGGGACGUUCUCAUUGGGUUAUUGCAAGUGGAUAAACUCACUGUUCAAGAGAUCCCUCCUGAUGGUGACUGUCUGUAUAAUGCAGUUGCUGAUCAGCUGAAGUUAACAAAGCGACAGAUACACAGUGGGUCAGAACUUCGAAGACUUGCUUCUAACUACAUUCAGUUACACAGAGAUCAUUUUAUGCCUUUUCUAGUUCAUGCAGACAGUGGAGAAGAGUUUUCAACUGAUGAAUUUGCCAACUAUUGUGAUGAAAUUGCAACUAGCAAGGCAUGGGGAGGAAAUUUGGAAGUAAUGUGCUUUUUGUUUCCAAAUUUUUGUCACUUGGUAUUUCUGCUUCAGAUCGAAGCUCUCUCUUCAGUCCUGCAAUGCCCUAUUGAAGUGUACCAGUCAAGUGGACCAAUUCUGAAGUUUGGGGAGCACCACAAUGGCAAUACUAAAAAGAAAGAAAGCUAGAUUUUGCAGAGCAGCUACACAGAGCAUAACUAUCUUAGGCGUGACAAGAUACCAGCAGUGGAAGGAAAGAAUAUCAAUCAACCAGGCAUUUAGCGUCAAUAUUUGGCAUGCAGGAAACCAUAUCUGACCUCAUUAGGGAACAGCAACUCAAAUGGCUGGGACACGUGUGUCGUAUGGAUGAAGGGAGACUGCCGAAGAGAAUGCUAUUUGGAGAGUUGAGGAAAAGAGACUAUGUCAUGGAAUGAAGAAAAAGUGGAGAGAUGUUACUAAAUUGAAUAUGGAAACUAUUGGUGUGGAGAUAGGUGGUAUGAGUUGUGCCAAAACAGGGGAGACUGGUUCAAGGUUUGUUGUGAAGGUAUGGAGUGUCAGAGGCCAAACAGAGAAAUGAAUGUCCAGUUAUCAUCACCAUGACUAUGGACUAGGAGAACACUAUAAUUCUGUGGUUGCUGCAGGUGUGGAACAGAAGUGAACCCAGACUGACAGUUUUUAUGCAAUUAUGUUUUAUAGCAGUAAGUUAGGUGCAGAAUAGAGUAGACUAGUGUUGUCAGAUAUGUCAAAUGAUAGGUACUAUA